rnacentral:rRNA from 1 species
CCUACGGGUGGCUGCAGUGGGGAAUAUUGGACAAUGGGGGCAACCCUGAUCCAGCCAUGCCGCGUGUGUGAAGAAGGCCCUCGGGUUGUAAAGCACUUUCAGUGAGGAAGAACGCCUGGUGGUUAAUACCCAUCAGGAAAGACAUCACUCACAGAAGAAGCACCGGCUAACUCCGUGCCAGCAGCCGCGGUAAUACGGAGGGUGCGAGCGUUAAUCGGAAUGACUGGGCGUAAAGCGCGCGUAGGUGGCUUGAUAAGCCGGUUGUGAAAGCCCCGGGCUCAACCUGGGAACGGCAUUCGGAACUGUCAAGCUAGAGUGCAGGAGAGGAAGGUAGAAUUCCCGGUGUAGCGGUGAAAUGCGUAGAGAUCGGGAGGAAUACCAGUGGCGAAGGCGGCCUUCUGGACUGACACUGACACUGAGGUGCGAAAGCGUGGGUAGCAAACAGGAUUAGAUACCCUGGUAGUC